rnacentral:misc_RNA from 1 species
GAUGAAGAACGUAGUGAAAUGCGAUACGUAAUGUGAAUUGCAGAAUUCAGUGAAUCAUCGAGUCUUUGAACGCACAUUGCGCCCCCUGGUAUUCCGGGGGGCAUGCCUGUCCGAGCGUCAUUGCUGCCCUCAAGCACGGCUUGUGUGUUGGGCCUCCGUCCUCCUCCCGGGGGACGGGCCCGAAAGGCAGCGGCGGCACCGCGUCCGGUCCUCGAGCGUAUGGGGCUUCGUCACCCGCUCUUGUAGGCCCGGCCGGCGCUUGCCGACACAUCAAUCUUUUUUCCAGGUUGACCUCGGAUCAGGUAGGGGUACCCGCUGAACUUAAGCAUAUCAAUAAGCGGAGGA